GAUUGAUAGGUGCUAGGUAGCCAGAGAACAGUGUGAAGAGCAUAAAAAGAAUGGGCAAGGCACAGCAGUAAAGAGACAGAGUGCUCUAAAUCCAAGAACUGUGCAUUAUUCUGCAUAGGUGAAGAGUAGAGUGGAUGUGGGAAGUCAUAAGGGCUGAGACUAGAGAUGUAGGCAGGGACAAGAUGAUGCAAAGUCUCAUACAACAUUCUGAGGAAGACGUUUACCCUGAAAGAGAUUUUCUGUCAACUGUCUUCAUUUUCACCGUAAGAUUGAUAAGGACAUUUCUAAUUCAUUGGGCAUAGCAUUUUACUUCAUAAAAUCUGCAGUUUAAUGAACAUUGCUACCAAGAACAUCAAGAAGAGCUGCUGAAUGAUAGGCAUUUGGAGAGCAGUUAGCCAUGCUACAUGGGAAGCUAAAACUUUCGAACCAGGAGGUGGUUCAACAAAGCAUCUUGAACUGUCCAAAGACCAGUUCUUUGUUAAAAAAUGAACUGCACAGCAAAAGCAUGUGAGGAUAAGGAUUUCUGAAUGCUGUCAUGCACACCCUGGUGUUCCCAGCACCGAGCCAUUAAUGCAUCACUGCUGUCCUGUGCUGGAUGAGGGAGGAGAGAGAGUUAAGAGAAGCAGCUGGCUAAGGAGAGCCCCAGGGAUGAGCUCCCAGAGACACUUACCUGGAAAGAAGAAAGCAAUAGCCUUCAUCAUGUCUAGUCCCCUCUUGGCUCCCUGCACUGAAAUCCCAGGGAUCAGCUUGUUGCUGGACAUGCCACUAACUUCUGUGUCAAUGUACACAAACCCAGCACAGUUUGCCAGGAAAGCCGCUGUCUCAAGAAUAUCAAGGAGCGGAGUCUUUCCAGACCACAACUCCUCGCUCCAGGCGUUCGAAUCUGCCUCAAACAAAAGAGGAGACAACGGCGAAGGACGCCCCCCUGCCAUCCUCCUAUCUCACCAUGGCUCCCGCCUCGCUGCAAGCAGCCCCUCAAGGCCAAACGCAGGCUGGUGGGAAAACACCGACCUGCACAAGCUACAUGCGCCCUCUCCCCUACCCAAAACCCCGAAUAAAAAUCCCUACCCAUCCCUCAUCGGGGAGCUAGAAAUUUUUGAGGCAUGAGCCCCAGCUUUGCUCCCUAUGCCUGGCAUAGUAAAAACCUUUCCUCUUCC
rnacentral:lncRNA from 1 species